CAGCCCGUCUGCAGCCUGCAGACACACGUGCCAUGUCACUACAGAGUCACACGGCUUUGGACCGAUCUAAUCAAAAAUAUGGGGAAAGGAGAGAGGCUGUGAUAAAUAUAACUUUGCAAAAGCCCAUUUAAUCAGGGAAGUCAAAGCCAGAUCCAGUGUCUCGGGGGAAGUUUUAUUGGAAGCAGGUUCUCUCUUUGCAAAAAGGAAGGUAAUAUAUAUUUGAGACUGCAUACUAAUGCUAAAGAAUUUGUCAGGAGGAAAAAAAAAAAGGGGAAGGAGGGAAUGGUUCAGUAUCCCCACAGAAAAUUAUCUAGAUUGGGGAAAUAUGAACUGACCUAGUUUUCAAAUUUCUUUUUUAAGCAGAAAGAAGUAAACCUUGUUCCUAAUGUUUCUGAACAAACAUAGAAGCUUUGAAAGGCACACCAAAAUUCAAUAAACCUAAA
rnacentral:lncRNA from 1 species